rnacentral:tRNA from 1 species
GGGGAUGGAUGUCAUCCGGUGGUGGCCACGGUCUUCAAAAUCGCUGUGCCGUCUCUCCGAGGCGGUAGGUGGGUUCGACUCCCAUUCAUCCCCG